rnacentral:rRNA from 1 species
CCUACGGGUGGCAGCAGUAAGGAAUAUUGGGCAAUGGGCGCAAGCCUGACCCAGCCAUGCCGCGUGCAGGAUGACGACCCUAUGGGUUGUAAACUGCUUUUAUAUAGGAAGAAAAUACUCUUGCGAGAGGAUCUGACGGUACUAUAUGAAUAAGGACCGGCUAACUCCGUGCCAGCAGCCGCGGUAAUACGGAGGGUUCAAGCGUUUUCCGGAUUUAUUGGGUUUAAAGAGUGCGUAGGUGGUUUAUUAAGUCAGUGGUGAAAUCCUGCAGCUCAACUGUAGAACUGCCAUUGAUACUGGUAAACUUGAGUUUGGUUUAGGUAAGCGGAAUUUAUGAUGUAGCGGUGAAAUGCAUAGAUAUCAUAAGGAACACCAAUAGCGAAGGCAGCUUACUGGACCACAACUGACACUGAGGCACGAAAGCGUGGGUAGCGAACAGG